rnacentral:rRNA from 1 species
CCGAAUACAUUAGNAUGGGAUAAUGGAAUAGGACCCUGUCCNCNUAUUUUCAGUUGGUUUUGGCAGCGCGAGGACUAGGGUAAUGAUUAAUAGGGAUAGUUGGGGGCAUUAAUAUUUAAUUGUCAGAGGUGAAAUUCUUGGAUUUAUGAAAGAUUAACUUCUGCGAAAGCAUCUGCCAAGGAUGUUUUCAUUAAUCAAGAACGAAAGUUAGGGGAUCGAAGACGAUCAGAUACCGUCGUAGUCUUAACCAUAAACGAUGCCGACCAGCGAUUAGGAGACGUUGAAUACAAAACACCACCAUCGGUUGCGGUCNUCCUUG